rnacentral:rRNA from 1 species
UUGCCGGCGACCGGCGCACGGGUGAGUAACGCGUAUCCAACCUUCCGUACACUCAGGGAUAGCCUUUCGAAAGAAAGAUUAAUACCUGAUGGUAUGAUGAGAUUGCAUGAUAGCAUCAUUAAAGAUUUAUCGGUGUACGAUGGGGAUGCGUUCCAUUAGGUAGUAGGCGGGGUAACGGCCCACCUAGCCAACGAUGGAUAGGGGUUCUGAGAGGAAGGUCCCCCACAUUGGAACUGAGACACGGUCCAAACUCCUACGGGAGGCAGCAGUGAGGAAUAUUGGUCAAUGGACGAGAGUCUGAACCAGCCAAGUAGCGUGAAGGAUGAAGGUCCUACGGAUUGUAAACUUCUUUUAUAAGGGAAUAAACCCUCCCACGUGUGGGAGCUUGUAUGUACCUUAUGAAUAAGCAUCGGCUAACUCCGUGCCAGCAGCCGCGGUAAUACGGAGGAUGCGAGCGUUAUCCGGAUUUAUUGGGUUUAAAGGGAGCGCAGACGGGUCGUUAAGUCAGCUGUGAAAGUUUGGGGCUCAACCUUAAAAUUGCAGUUGAUACUGGCGUCCUUGAGUGCGGUUGAGGUGUGCGGAAUUCGUGGUGUGGCGGUGAAAUGCUUAGAUAUCACGAAGAACUCCGAUUGCGAAGG